CUCACCCCAGCUAGAUUGCUCAGACUGCCCAUAAAGACAGCUCAACCAUAUUUCUACUCUCCCAACAGAGAAGCUCAGCUUACAAACUCAUCUGUUCCUGCACUUCAGGGCAAUGCAUACUUACAUCCUAAGAAGGCAACUGCUGUGCAUGGCAUGAACUCCUUGAGCUGUGUAGAAGAUCUUCAGGACAUGUGAAGUAUCUGAGGGCCAACACGAUUAACAUCACUCACAUGUGGUUCAUCCUUUCCACAGUGGUGGAAUUGUGCGUACUGUGGAGUGUUUUGUUUCGGUAGGGUUUUUAUUUUGUUUUUGUAUACGCACUGCUAUAUGUUUGUGUUAGAGAAGGCAAGGUAGAAAAAGUGCACACUGUAUUUGUAGCAGAAGGUGAAGUUGGUGAUGAUCCCCAUUUCCUCUGGGAGUUCAUUCCAGUGUCUUGGACCAACCCCAAGAAAGCUCUGUCUCUGCACAUAGCCUUAUGAUAGAAAGUUCCAUUGUGCCUUUGGAAUGGAGUUUUCAGCCAUGGUCUUCUCCACCAGAGAUUAGAUUUUUUUUAGAUAUGCUGAGCCCAGAUCAUUGAGCACCUUAAAGAUAAGAACUGAGACCUUGAACUUAAUACCAACCAAAUUUCCUUCUGGGCAGGCUUUCUGCUAUUAGGGGUGCUCUAAUCUGGUUUACACUGAGGGCUUGUCUUCAUUACCGGGGAGAUCGACGCUGAUGCAAUCAAUGCAGCGGGUGUCGAUUUAGUGGGUCUAGUGAAGACCCGCUAAAAUGACGGCAGAGCGCUCUCCAGUCGACUCUGGUACUUCAGCUCCCUGAGAAGAGUAAGGUAAGUUGACUGGAGAGUGUCUCCAGUCAAUGCAGCGCAGUGAAGACACUGGGGAAAGUUGACC